UACGUAGGCAGCGAGCGUUGUUCGGAGUUACUGGGCGUAAAGAGUGCGUAGGCGGUUUUCUAAGUUUGGUGUGAAAUCUCCCGGCUUAACUGGGAGGGUGCGCCGAAAACUGGAAAGCUGGAGUGUGGGAGAGGUAAGCGGAAUUCCUGGUGUAGCGGUGAAAUGCGUAGAUAUCAGGAGGAACACCUGCGGUGUAGACGGCUUACUGGACCAUAACUGACGCUGAGGCACGAAAGCGUGGGUAGCAAACAGGAUUAGAUACCCUGGUAGUCCACGCCCUAAACGAUGCAUACUUGGUGUGGGUAGUUCAUUCUAUCCGUGCCGGAGCUAACGCGUUAAGUAUGCCGCCUGGGGAGUACGGUCGCAAGGCUGAA
rnacentral:rRNA from 1 species